rnacentral:rRNA from 1 species
GACGAACGCUGGCGGCGUGCUUAACACAUGCAAGUCGAACGGUGAAGCGCCUUCCUUUUUGGUGGGUGUGGAUGAGUGGCGAACGGGUGAGUAACACGUGAGUAACCUGCCCCCUUCUUCUGGAUAACCGCAUGAAAGUGUGGCUAAUACGGGAUAUUCUGGGUCUGUCGCAUGAUGGGUCUGGGAAAGAUAUUGUUUCGGUGGGGGAUGGGCUCGCGGCCUAUCAGCUUGUUGGUGGGGUGAUGGCCUACCAAGGCGGUGACGGGUAGCCGGCCUGGGAGGGUGGACGGUCACACUGGGACUGAGACACGGCCAAGACUCCUAGGGGAGGCAGCGGUGGGGAAUAUUGCACAAUGGGCGCAAGCCUGAUGCAGCGACGCCGCGUGAGGGAUGGAGGCCUUCGGGUUGUGAACCUCUUUCGCCAGUGAAGCAGGCCUGCCUCGUUUGUGGGUGGGUUGACGGUAGCUGGAGAAGAAGCGCCGGCUAACUACGUG